GCAUAUCAAUAAGCGGAGGAAAAGAAACCAACAGGGAUUGCCCUAGUAACGGCGAGUGAAGCGGCAACAGCUCAAAUUUGAAAUCUGGCGUCUUCGGCGUCCGAGUUGUAAUUUGCAGAGGGCGCUUUGGCAUUGGCAGCGGUCCAAGUUCCUUGGAACAGGACGUCACAGAGGGUGAGAAUCCCGUACGUGGUCGCUAGCCUUUACCGUGUAAAGCCCCUUCGACGAGUCGAGUUGUUUGGGAAUGCAGCUCUAAAUGGGAGGUAAAUUUCUUCUAAAGCUAAAUACUGGCCAGAGACCGAUAGCGCACAAGUAGAGUGAUCGAAAGAUGAAAAGCACUUUGGAAAGAGAGUUAAAAAGCACGUGAAAUUGUUGAAAGGGAAGCGCUUGCAGCCAGACUUGCCUGUAGUUGCUCAUCCGGGUUUUUACCCGGUGCACUCUUCUAUAGGCAGGCCAGCAUCAGUUUGGGCGGUUGGAUAAAGGUCUCUGUCAUGUACCUCUCUUCGGGGAGAACUUAUAGGGGAGACGACAUGCAACCAGCCUGGACUGAGGUCCGCGCAUCUGCUAGGAUG
rnacentral:rRNA from 1 species